AUACGGAGGAUCCAAGCGUUAUCCGGAUUUAUUGGGUUUAAAGGGUGCGCAGGCGGGAUAAUAAGUCAGUGGCGAAAGUUUGCAGCUUAACUGUAAAAUUGCCGUUGAAACUGUUAUUCUUGAGUGCAGACAAGGUAGGCGGAAUGUAUUGUGUAGCGGUGAAACGCUUAGAUAUAAUACAGAACCCCGAUUGCGAAGGCAGCUUACCGGACUGUAACUGACGCUCAGGCACGAAAGCGUGGGGAUCAAACAGGAUUAGAUACCCUGGUAGUCCACGCAGUAAACGAUGAAUACUAGCUGUUCGCGAUAUACAGCGAGUGGCACAGCGAAAGCGUUAAGUAUUCCACCUGGGGAGUACGUUCGCAAGAAUGAA
rnacentral:rRNA from 1 species